ensembl:lncRNA
GGCAGAAUCAAUUCAAUUCAAGGGGCUUUAUUGGCAUGGGAAACGUGUUAACAUUGCCAAAGCAAGUGAGGCAUUUGGGAAAGGAUCAUCUCUACAUACUGUACCAUAGAGCAGGGGUUCCCUAAUUCGGUCCCGAAUCGUGGCAAAGGGCAUAGGCUUGGACACUGGGUGGUUCGGAAGACUGGUGACCAGAGGCGAGUAAACAAGCAGUUUCCCAGGAGUGAAGGAGAUGAUAGACCAUACCACACACACACCUCUGCUGCUCAUAAACAUGGAGAGGACCUGGAGCACAGAGCCAGUGCUGCCUGCUGCACCCUGCACCUCUCUGACCAGAACCAGCAGUGCAGGAGACACAGUGUGUGUGUGUGUUUUGAUCAUUCAACUCAGAGAAUAAAGCCAGAGGUCCGGGCUUGGGCCAGGUCACCCCCUGGUCAAAUCUGUUCAGAGAGGCCAUCUUUUCUGGGUGUCUAAAGCACACGAUCAGGUCACACUGUCUCAACUGGGUCCGACCUGAGAUACACAACAGAAGAACAUCUAAUAUAUCCCUGUUCAAACUAAAUCCAAUCCAAUACAAAAGGAGAG